rnacentral:rRNA from 1 species
GACGAACCGUGCGAACGUUGUUCGGAAUCACUGGGCUUAAAGGGUGCGUAGGCGGGUCUUUAAGUCAGGGGUGAAAUCCUGGAGCUCAACUCCAGAACUGCCUUUGAUACUGAAGAUCUUGAGUUCGGGAGAGGUGAGUGGAACUGCGAGUGUAGAGGUGAAAUUCGUAGAUAUUCGCAAGAACACCAGUGGCGAAGGCGGCUCACUGGCCCGAUACUGACGCUGAGGCACGAAAGCGUGGGUAGCAAACAGG